rnacentral:tRNA from 1 species
GCGGGAUUAGCUCAGCUGGUUAGAGUGCAUGCAUCACACGCAUGAAGUCCGGGGUUCGAGUCCCUGAUUCCGCACCA